rnacentral:rRNA from 1 species
ACUCAAAUGAAUUGACGGGGGCCCGCACAAGCGGUGGAGCAUGUGGUUUAAUUCGACGCAACGCGCAGAACCUUACCAGGGUUUGACAUCCUGUGCUCACUCCAGAGAUGGAGUUUCCCCGCAAGGGGCGCAGAGACAGGUGCUGCAUGGCUGUCGUCAGCUCGUGUCGUGAGAUGUUGGGUUAAGUCCCGCAACGAGCGCAACCCUCGCCUUUAGUUGCCAUCAUUAAGUUGGGCACUCUAGAGGGACCGCCGGCGACAAGCCGGAGGAAGGUGGGGAUGACGUCAAGUCCUCAUGGCCCUUACACCCUGGGCUACACACGUGCUACAAUGGCAGUGACAGUGGGCAGCCAACUCGCAAGAGUGAGCUAAUCCCAAAAAACUGCCCCAGUUCAGAUUGCACUCUGCAACUCGAGUGCAUGAAGGUGGAAUCGCUAGUAAUCGCAGAACAGCAGGCUGCGGUGAAUACGUUCCCGGGCCUUGUACACACCGCCCGU